GGACCCGUAGCUCAGGCUGGGAGAGCACUUGGCUUUUAACCAAGGGGUCGAGGGUUCAAAUCCCUUCGGGUCCG
rnacentral:tRNA from 1 species